rnacentral:rRNA from 1 species
GACGAACGCUGGCGGCGUGCUUAACACAUGCAAGUCGAACGGAAAGGCCCUGCUUUUGUGGGGUGCUCGAGUGGCGAACGGGUGAGUAACACGUGAGUAACCUGCCCUUGACUUUGGGAUAACUUCAGGAAACUGGGGCUAAUACCGGAUAGGAGCUCCUGCUGCAUGGUGGGGGUUGGAAAGUUUCGGCGGUUGGGGAUGGACUCGCGGCUUAUCCGCUUGUUGGUGGGGUAGUGGCUUACCAAGGCUUUGACGGGUAGCCGGCCUGAGAGGGUGACCGGCCACAUGGGGACUGAGAUACGGCCCAGACUGCUACGGGAGGCAGCAGUGGGGAAUAUUGCACAAUGGGCGGAAGCCUGAUGCAGCAACGCCGCGUGCGGGAUGACGGCCUUCGGGUUGUAAACCGCUUUCGCCUGUGACGAAGCGUGAGUGACGGUAAUGGGUAAAGAAGCACCGGCUAACUACGUG